ACGAACGCUGGCGGCGUGCUUAACACCUGCCAGUCGAACGGAAAGGCCCUGCUUGCAGGGUCCUCGAGUGGCGAACGGGUGAGUAACACGUGGGUGAUCUGCCCUGCACUUCGGGAUAAGCCUGGGAAACUGGGUCUAAUACCGGAUAGGAGCCAUUUUUAGUGUGAUGGUUGGAAAGUUUUUUCGGUGUAGGAUGAGCUCGCGGCCUAUCAGCUUGUUGGUGGGGUAAUGGCCUACCAAGGCGGCGACGGGUAGCCGGCCUGAGAGGGUGGACGGCCACAUUGGGACUGAGAUACGGCCCAGACUCCUACGGGAGGCAGCAGUGGGGAAUAUUGCACAAUGGGCGCAAGCCUGAUGCAGCGACGCCGCGUGGGGGAUGACGGCCUUCGGGUUGUAAACUCCUUUCGCUAGGGACGAAGCUUUUUGUGACGGUACCUAGAGAAGAAGCACCGGCUAACUACGUG
rnacentral:rRNA from 1 species